UACGUAGGGUCCGAGCGUUGUCCGGAAUUAUUGGGCGUAAAGGGCUCGUAGGCGGUUCGUCACGUCGGGAGUGAAAACUCGGAGCUUAACUCCGAGCCUGCUUCCGAUACGGGCAGACUAGAGGUAGGCAGGGGAGAGCGGAACUCCUGGUGUAGCGGUGGAAUGCGCAGAUAUUGGGAAGAACACCAGUGGCGAAGGCGGUUCUCUGGGACGGUACUGGACGCUGAGACGCGAAAGCGUGGGGAGCGAACGAGG
rnacentral:rRNA from 1 species